GUCCUUGCCGUAAACGAUGUAUACUUGAUGUAGCUGGAAUCAACCCUAGUUGUGUCGUAGCUAACGCGAUAAGUAUACCGCCUGGGGAGUACGCUCGCAAGGGUGAAACUCAAAAAGAAUUGACGGGGACCCGCACAAGCAGUGGAGCAUGUGGUUUAAUUCGAUGCAACGCGAAGAACCUUACCCAGACUUGACAUGCAGAGGAAUAUAGUGGAGACAUUAUAGCCCGCAAGGGUCUUUGCACAGGUGCUGCAUGGCUGUCGU
rnacentral:rRNA from 1 species